AAGAGAUGAAGACAUUGAGAGAUAGUGCUGGAUGUGGCUCGCAUGAGGAGUACUUACGUAGCAUUAUGAAGCCGUGGGUUUAAUACUCAGAGCUACCUGAACCAGGAUGGGGUAAAGUACAUUCCUGCAAUGCUGGUGGUUUGGAGAUGGAAGUAGGAGGAUCAGACAUUCAAAGUCAUCCGUGGGAACACAAUGACGCUAGUUCAUGCUAAGUUGACAAAACUCUACCUUGGUGAAUGUUGGUCUGUGCUCCCAUUGUUUUGGGUAGUGAUGGAAGAGGCUGCUGUCUGAAACACCUUAGGGACUGUCCUUCAGAAGGGGUAAUCGUCUCAUCAAGCUGUCCAGAAAGCAAAGUCCAUAUCCUAGCCUUCAGAUGAACACCUAGAAUUCUCCUGCACCAUGCCUGCCUGGAUGUUGCCAUGUUCCUGCUUUGAUGAUAAUGAACCGCUGAACCUUUCUUGAUUCUUGGAAGUUCAAGAUUGAGGGGGUCUGCGUCUAGAGAGAGGACCUUCGCCCAGGAUUAUCCCAUGCAGAAGGGCAGAAGGGCACAGGGCCUUGCCUUUCCCUCAGCAACAAUCCAGUCACUUCAUCUAGCCUUGGAUGCACAGCAUAAGCAUUGGGGGCUGCAGUUUCACUCUGCCCAGGAAGGGUCUUUUGAAAAUGCCAAGGGACACUCCUGGGUGAUGACAAUGUG
rnacentral:lncRNA from 1 species